rnacentral:rRNA from 1 species
UACGGAGGAUCCAAGCGUUAUCCGGAAUCAUUGGGUUUAAAGGGUCCGUAGGCGGUUUAAUAAGUCAGUGGUGAAAGCCCAUCGCUCAACGGUGGAACGGCCAUUGAUACUGUUAAACUUGAAUUAUUAGGAAGUAACUAGAAUAUGUAGUGUAGCGGUGAAAUGCUUAGAGAUUACAUGGAAUGCCAAUUGCGGAGGCAGGUUACUACUAAUGGAUUGACGCUGAUGGACGAAAGCGUGGGUAGCGAACAGG